rnacentral:rRNA from 1 species
CCUACGGGAGGCAGCAGUGAGGAAUAUUGGUCAAUGGCCGAGAGCCUGAACCAGCCAAGUCGCGUGAGGGAGUACUGCCCUAUGGGUUGUAAACCUCUUUUGUCGGGGAGCAAAAUCCGGACGUGUCCGGCUGUGAGAGUACCCGACGAAAAAGCAUCGGCUAACUCCGUGCCAGCAGCCGCGGUAAUACGGAGGAUGCGAGCGUUAUCCGGAUUUAUUGGGUUUAAAGGGUGCGUAGGCGGAGUUUUAAGUCAGCGGUAAAAUCGUGGGGCUCAACCCCAUCCAGCCGUUGAAACUGGGGAGCUGGAGUGUGGGAGAGGUAGGCGGAAUGCGUGGUGUAGCGGUGAAAUGCAUAGAUAUCACGCAGAACCCCGAUUGCGAAGGCAGCAUACCGGUGCACAACUGACGCUGAGGCACGAAAGCGUGGGUAUCGAACAGGAUUAGAUACCCGAGUAGUC